GUAACACACCAGCAAGUCACUACAUUUUGAAGAGUCACCACUUACACUCAUGUAGUGAGUUUUCUAAAGUGUUGAAAACGGAAUUUCGCACCGUAUAUUACCCAGAAAAUACAAAAUUGUUCAUAGUGUGAGUUUCCGGUCUGAACGUGAUUUUUUCCACACACAUUUUCAUGCUGCACCAUGGCGUUUACACACUUUCCCCUGAUGGAUUUUUUGCGCAUGCGCACGAGUAACUUCCGUGAAAAUGGACAUCAACAGUAAAAAAAUGUGCUGGUUACCGGAAGUUCACAAGAACCAGUUAAGCGAAGGUAACACCCUACAACAUGAACAUGAACUGAUCACUGAGACUGCAUUGCGUAUGAAAGACAGUUUUAUUUACUAGCCCGACAGGCUAAUGCAGUAUAGAUUUAUGAUAGCCCAACCUCUAAAAUUGGUAGCCC